GCCGAAAGCGGCCCGCCUCGUUGCCGCUGACGAUGCGGUAGGAGUGGUGGUCCACACCGUUGGAGCCGAUGUCAGAGUCCGUGGCGGUGUCCAGAAUGACCUGACGCCCGCUACCACUGUCCUCCUUGAAGGUGACCACGAUCGAAGGGUCUGGGAAGACUGGGGCGUUGUCAUUGAGGUCACGCACCAGCACUCCCCUAUCCGCCCACUCCCCCUUUUUGGCCCUGGCGUUCCCCUGUACUGGGGCAUAUAAAGUUUGCGUGUCCAAUGGGCCUCUCUUUCCAGUGAUGGCCGACUAGGCCAUCUUUUGAUACAUAUGCAGCUAGAGUCAAGAGCUCCGGGGUACUGAUUAGUUCAUAAUGUUGUUCCACCUAUAGGGUUGCAGAUCCCUUUAGUUCCUUGGGUACUUUCUCUAGCUCCUCCAUUGGGAGCCCUGUGAUCCAUCCAUUAGCUGACUGUGAGCAUCCACUUCUGUGUUUGCUAGGCCCCGGCAUAGUCUCACAAGAGACAGCUACAUCUGGGUCCUUUCGAUAAAAUCUUGCUAGUGUAUGCAAUGGUGUCAGCGUUUGAAUGCUCGGAACUUUUAGGCUGUCCCUAUUUAACAAAAUCAGCUUUGUUUGUGCCUGUUGGUGUAUAAGCUACUAUUCUGUUGCUGUGAUAAAUACUGUGUUCGAGACAGCUUAAGGAAGACUUGAUUUUGGCUCGCAGCUUUGGAGAGAGUCUGUCAUGGCAGCGACACAUACCCUCUGAAGCAGGAAGCUGACUGGUCCCUUCUUUAACUACACACAAGAAGCUGAGAACAGGAUGUGAAGCCACUUGUAAACUCUCAAAGCUCACCUUCCGUGACUGCUUUCUCCAGCAAAGCUGUAUCUCCCAAAGGUUCCAUAACCUCCCUAAACCUCAUGACAAGUCAGAGAUCAAGUUCAAAAACCUGAGCCUGUGACUAGGUUUCCCUUCAAUCCAACAAGUGUGUCCUACAUGGUUCUAGUUCUUCUGCUUUAUUUUAUUUUUAAUUAUUUUUUAGAAGUUUUACAUUAGAGCUGGCAAGAUGGCUCAGUGGUAGAGCAUAUGCUGCCAAGUCUGAGAAGUUGAGUUUGAUACAUGAAUGAUUAACAAGAUGGAUGAAAACCAAGUCUUGAAAGUUGUCUUCUGACUUGCAAACAUGAGGGCUAUGCAAUGUGAGAGGACACACACACACACACACUCAGUGUAAAUAAAAAUGUAAUAAAAUAUUCAGGACCUGGUUGGUAGCUCAAAAAAUAAGUGAACUUGGCCCCCAACUUGAUGACAUAAGUUUGAUUCCUGAGAUCAGCAUAGUGAGAGGAGACACAGGUUGUCCUCUAAGCUCCACAUGAGCACAUGGCUCAUGUGUGCUCCUUAUCCCCUUACGCCCCCCCCCACAUACACACACAAACACACACACACACGUACAAUUUUUUUCUUUAAAAAAUAGUCACAUUUAUCAUGAUAUCCGUGUUUCUAUGUCUCAUAGUACUAUUCUAAUAAUGUAAAUUUUAUUUUUUCCAUGUUUAAUUCUGAGUAUUUCUGACUUAUCUUCCAGUUUACAAAUCCUCUCUUCAACUAUUUCUAACAUGUUGCCAAAAAUCUCGAUUCAGGUUUGUUAAAUUAUUGGUGUGAAAAGCUCUGCUCUGCUAUUUCAUAAAUGCCUGGACUCUAGCAAAUACUUGCAUGCUUGUUUUCUACUUCUUUGAACAAACUAAAUAUUGUUUUGAUGUGCUGUCAAAGUUGUUUCUGACAAUCUAUAUCACAAAGAUUUAGUUCUUUCUGAUUUACCAAUGCUGUUUUAUAGUAGGUUGCUGUUUUAUAGUAGUUUGUCUGGUUAUGAAGCAGUCUAUCUGGAUUAGAGAUGCUUCCUACUUUUGUAAAGACAAUCUUUUAAUUCUUUCAUUGGGUAUCUAUGGGUAUAUUGGUUUUGUUUUUUGCUUUUAUGAUAAAAAAAUCCCUACAAACGCAACCUAAGGGAGACAGGGUUUGUUUAAGCUCACAACUCCAAGUUCUAGUCUAUCACUGCAGGAAAGUAAGGGUGUUGGGAAGCAGAAGCAACUGACCACACCACAUCCAUUGCCAAGAGCAGAGAGAAUGGAUGCAUCCUUGUCUGUACUCAGCUUACUCCUUCACUCACACAGUUGAGGAUCCCCUGCCUAGGGAAUUGUGCCGCCCACAGUAGGCGGGUUUUCGCAGCUCAAUGAAUCUAAUCAAGGUAACCCUCAUUAAACAAGUCCACAGGCCCACCUGAUCUAGAAAAUCCUUCAUUGACCCUCUCCUUCCAGAUGAUUCUAGACUUUAUCAAGUUGACAAUCAAAUAGGCCAUCCUAUUGGGUUAUUAUUUUAUCUGAAACCACUGUUUUCAUGGAUCAAAAAUACUCACCACAAUGAAACAGUAUUUUAUGAAAUUCUAUACAGUACUACCAAGUGAAUUACAAACAUACCACUCUCAUGUAGAACUUCUAGUUCCUAUCUAUAACUCUAGGACCUGGGAAGUUGAGACAGCAUAAAACAUUCCACCAGGUUCCCUGCUUUUCCCUAACACACUGUCACUGUCUGUCUGUCUGUCUGUCUGUCUGUCUGUCUGAUAGCUGUUUUCUGUGAUACUUGAAUCAUAAGGGCCUUGUGACCCUUAGCAAAUACAGUGCAUAUCCUGACUCUACAGAUUAUUGGUAAGAUGGACUCAAAGAGUAUGAGCCAUUACCAUAAAGUGAUUUCUAAUUAAUAAAAAAUUAAAAUGGC
rnacentral:lncRNA from 1 species